rnacentral:rRNA from 1 species
CCGUUGCCGGCGACCGGCGCACGGGUGAGUAACACGUAUGCAACCGUGCCCGUGGCAGGGGGAUAAGCGGGGGAAACCCCGUCUAAUACCGCGUAACGCGGCCUAGGGACAUCCCAAGGCCGCCAAAGGGAGCAAUCCCGGCCACGGAUGGGCAUGCGGCGCAUUAGCUAGUCGGCGGGGUAACGGCCCACCGAGGCGACGAUGCGUAGGGGUUCUGGGAGGAAGGCCCCCCACACUGGUACUGAGACACGGACCAGACUCCUACGGAAGGCAGCAG